rnacentral:rRNA from 1 species
GGUAAUCUCUCAGUUAAUGAUAUUCCUGCAAAAGUCUUAUUUGAUACUGGUGCAUCGCUUUGUUUCAUGUCAAGAUCGUUUUUUGCAAAGAAUGAUUUUACUUGCUCUUACCUGGAUAAACCAUUGGGUGUUGUUUCUCCGGGGAAGUCAAUGAGAGCCAACUCGAUAGUUCCGGAUGUUUCCAUCAAGAUGGGAAACUAUAAAUUUCUGUCUUCUCCAAUUGUUCUUGGUGAUUCGGAUAUUGAUCUAAUUCUCGGGAUGGACUGGCUUUCUAAGCCCAAGGCUCAACUUGAUUGUGCUGCCAGGGAAAUUCAAUUGACACACUCUUCUGAGGAUGUUAUCAUCUAUGCCGCUCGUGAUGAAACCAUUCGGUUAUUUUCUCUCAAUGAGAAGGGAGAAUUGAAUGCCAUCUCUCAAAUUCCAGUCGUUUGUGAGUAUCAAGAUGUCUUUCCAGAAGAGCUUCCGGGUAUGCCUCCUCACCGGCCAGUUGAGUUCGUUAUCGAUCUUGAGCCUGGCACGGAACCCGUUUGCAAGCGUCCUUACAAGCUUGGACCCAAGGAGCUGAAGGAAUUGAAGAAACAGCUCGAUGAACAAGAGCGUCUGGGUUUGAUCAGACCGAGUUCAUCUCCAUGGGGUUGUGGUGUUCUUUUUGUCCAGAAGAAGGAUGGCACGGAACGACUUUGUGUCGACUACCGUCCAUUGAACAAGAAGACAAUCAAGAACAAGUAUCCACUUCCCAACAUCAAUGAGCUAUUCGAGCAACUCAAAGGUGCUAAAGUAUUCUUGAAGCUU